GUCCUUGCCCAGAGAGCAUCACACAACAACCGCAUCCCUCCCCUACAGAAGCUCCCAGAGCACAGCACCUCACCAUGGACUGGACCUGGAGGCUCCUCCUCUUGGCGGCAGCAGCUACAGGUGCCCACGCUGAGGUCCAGCUGGUACAGUCUGGGGCUGAGGUGAAGAAACCUGGGGCCACCGUGAAAAUCUCCUGCAAGGUUUCUGGAUACACCUUCACCAGCUACUACAUGCACUGGGUGCGACAGGCUCCUGGAAAAGGGCUUGAGUGGAUGGGAGGUAUUGAUCCUGAAGAUGAUGAAACAAUAUACGCAGAGAAGUUCCAGGGCAGAGUCACCAUAACCGCGGACACGUCUACGGACACAGCCUACAUGGAGCUGAGCAGCCUGAGAUCUGAGGACACGGCCAUGUAUUACUGUGCAACAGACACAGUGUGAAAACCCACAUCCUGAGACUCUCUCCCGCACCACGGUCACAUGGCGCCACCUCUCUUGCAGCCUCCACCAAGGGCCCAUCGGUCUUCCCCCUGGCGCCCUGCUCCACGAGCACUUCUGAGAGCACAGCGGCCCUGGGCUGCCUGGUCAAGGACUACUUCCCUGAACCGGUGACCGUGUCGUGGAACAAAGGUGCCCUGACCAGUGGCGUGCACACCUUCCCGGCUAUCCUACAGUCCUCAGGGCUCUACUGCCUCAGCAGCGUGGUGACCGUGCCCUCCAGCAGCUUGGGCACCCAGCCCUACACCUGCAACGUAGAUCACAAGCCGAGCAACACCAAAGUGGAAAAGAAAGUUGGUGAGAGGCCAGCGCAGGGAGGGAGGGUGUCUGCUGGAAGCCAGGCUCAGCCCUCCUGCCUGGACACACCCCGGCUGUGCAGCCCCAGCCCAGGGCAGCAGGGCAGGCCCCAUCUGUCUCCUCACCUGGAGGCCUCUGCCCGCCCCACUCAUGCUCAGGGAGAGGGUUUUCUGGCUUUUUCCACCAGGCACCGGGCAGGCACAGGCUGGAUGCACCUACCCCAAGCCCUGAGCACAAAGGGGCAGGUGCUGGGCUCAGACCGACCAAGAGCCAUAUCCGGGAGGACCCUGCCCCUGACCUAAGCCCACCCCAAAGGCCAAACUCUCCACUCCCUCAGCUCAGAAACCUUCUCUCCUCCCAGACCACAGUAACUCCCAAUCUUCUCUCUGCAGAGCCCAGAACUACAUCUGGUGGCACAACUCACACAUGCCCACCGUGCCCAGGUAAGCCAGCCCAGGCCUCGCCCUCCAGCUCAAGGCGGGACAAGUGCCCUAGAGUGGCCUGCGUCCAGGGACAGGCCCCAGCCGGGUGCUGACACAUCCGCCUCCAUCUCUUCCUCAGCACCUGAACUCCUGGGAGGACCGUCAGUCUUCCUCUUCCCCCCAAAACCCAAGGACACCCUCAUGAUCUCCCGGACCCCUGAGGUCACGUGCGUGGUGGUGGACGUGAGCCAGGAAGACCCCGAGGUCCAGUUCAACUGGUACGUGGACGGUGUGGAGGUGCACAAUGCCAAGACAAAGCCGCGGGAGCAGCAGUACAACAGCACGUUCCGUGUGGUCAGCGUCCUCACCGUCGGGCACCAGGACUGGCUGAACGGCAAGGAGUACAAGUGCAAGGUCUCCAACAAAGCCCUCCCAGCCCCCAUCGAGAGAACCAUCUCCAAACCCAAAGGUGGGACCCGCGGGGCGCGAGGGCCACAUGGACAGAGGCCGGCUCGGCCCACCCUCUGCCCUGGGGGUGACCGCUGUGCCGACCUCUGUCCCUACAGGGCAGCCCCGAGAGCCACAGGUGUACACCCUGUCCCCGUCCCGGGAUGAGAUGACCAAGAACCAGGUCAGCCUGACCUGCCUGGUCAAAGGCUUCUACCCCAGCGACAUCGCCGUGGAGUGGGAGAGCAGCGGGCAGCCGGAGAACAACUACAAGACCACGCCUCCCGUGCUGGACUCCGACGGCUCCUACUUCCUCUACAGCAAGCUCACCGUGGACAAGAGCAGGUGGCAGCAGGGGAACGUCUUCUCAUGCUCCGUGAUGCAUGAGGCUCUGCACAACCACUACACGCAGAAGAGCCUCUCCCUGUCUCCGGGUAAAUGAGUGCGACGGCCGGCAAGCCCCUGCUCCGCGGGCUCUCGGGGUCCCGAGAGGAUGCUUGGCACGCACCCCGUGUACAUACUUCCCGGGCGCCCAGCAUGGAAAUAAAGCACCCAGCACUGCCCUGGGCCCUGCGA